AUUGAACGCUGGCGGCAGGCCUAACACAUGCAAGUCGAACGAGUGGCGGACGGGUGAGUAAUGUCUGGGAAACUGCCCGAUGGAGGGGGAUAACUACUGGAAACGGUAGCUAAUACCGCAUACCAUCGGAUGUGCCAAGAUGGGAUUAGCUUGUAGGUGAGGUAACGGCGCACCUAGGCAACGAUCCCUAGCUGGUCUGAGAGGAUGACCAGCAAAAUGGGAACGGAGACACGGGCGAGACGCAGACGGGAGGAAGAAGUGGGGAAGAUUGCACAAUGGGCGCAAGCCUGAUGCAGCAAUGCCGCGUGUAUGAAGAAGGCCUUCGGGUUGUAAAGUACUUUCAGCGGGGAGGCGUUACCCGCAGAAGAAGCACCGGCUAACUCCGUGCCAGCAGCCGCGGUAAUAC
rnacentral:rRNA from 1 species